CCGGCGAGAGCCUUUCCCUGUCAAGCAAGAGGGCCAAGAAGGCAGGGCUGCCGGGGCUGUACAAGAAGAGGCAGCAGCCUCCUACAGCACCACUACAGGCACUGCGAGGACAUAACACCAGAGAGCUGCUCCUCUGCCCUCCGAAACGACAACUUUCCUACCAUCUUGGAGGCAGAGCAAAGGGGGGCCAGGGGGAAAAGUGCACCCGCUCCCGAUAAAGUACAAAUUUUUACUUCUCAUCUCUGGAAAAAAGUCCACACCGGCCGUCUACACCCGCGCCUGGGGGAGAAAGCAGGGAAGAAACGGGGGGUGCAUGAGAAACGUUUUCAUU
rnacentral:lncRNA from 1 species